CAGCAGCCGCGGUAAUACGGAGGGAGCUAGCGUUGUUCGGAAUUACUGGGCGUAAAGCGCGCGUAGGCGGUUACUCAAGUCAGAGGUGAAAGCCCGGGGCUCAACCCCGGAACUGCCUUUGAAACUAGGUGACUAGAAUCUUGGAGAGGUCAGUGGAAUUCCGAGUGUAGAGGUGAAAUUCGUAGAUAUUCGGAAGAACACCAGUGGCGAAGGCGACUGACUGGACAAGUAUUGACGCUGAGGUGCAAAAGCGUGGGGAGCAAACAGGAUUAGAUACCCCAGUAGUCCCUGUCUCUUAUAC
rnacentral:rRNA from 1 species